rnacentral:tRNA from 1 species
ACAUCGGUAGUACAGUGGUUAGUGCAGUCUGCCGGAAAACAGAAAGACGCGGGUUCAAUUCCCGUCCGAUGUC